AGAAAUUGUAGGGCGAGGGUAGGGAAUAUCAUCAGUAUAAGAAAUCUGGUUAUCCCUCAACAGGAAGAGGAUCAUCAUAAAGAGAAGCUUACAACCCAAGCUUAAGCAAAAGCAUCAUAGAACAUAAGGUCUCCGGUGCUGAAUAUUUACUUGAUGCACCUCUGUGCGUUUUGAAAUGGUUGAACUUGUGUUUAUGUUGACAUUUGAUGCAUGUACGGGAAUUCUGUAUGAAAAUAUAUAUGAUUUCAUAACUCUA